UUGUUAUGGAGGUAGGCUCUCUAGGAAUCUGGGAGUAGUAGCUGGGGGGCAAGAGCAAAUAAAGAGCUCGAGCUUCUGUGGUCUCUGGGGAGAUGUUCCCGGGAAGCCUGUCUAGAGGGCGGAGGGCAGCUGUUGAGAUGGCGUGGCUCCCCGGCUCCUGCGCCCGCGUGGCUUUCGCGGCGGGCGCUGCGGCCCGGUAUUGGACAGCCUGGCAGGGCAGCGCGGGGCCGAAUCCGGCUGCCGUGGCUGAGGCUCAUGGAUCACUCUUUUGUGGUAGGGCCACAUCUGCCAGAGCCUGGAGUCUGCGAAGGCCGGGACCCGGUUCCCCGGCCCACAGUGGGGGUGUGCAAACCCGAGAGAACUGGGAAGUGCCGUCAGAAGCGAUAACUGACGACGUCUAAUGUCUAUCUGACCGCAGUCGCUGAAACCUCUACAACUUAGUUGACCGUAACUGCCAGAGCCCUGCCCUGAAUUCCUGUCCUUACUCCCUCUUUAAGAUUGCGUACCCACUGCAGAGUGCUGAAGACGGGGUAGCCACGAGGUUGCAAAUUCGUGAAGAAUCAGCAUCAUGUUUGGCAGCUGAGUAUUGGAGCCAGGAGCCUGCCAUGAGGUUUUGAGAACAGAGUGCUGUUUUAGAGCUGGCAGCAGCAUCUCAGCCCAAGAGAAGGUUAUAUUCCCAGAGGAUGUCAGUCCCAAGGACCAGUAGCUGCCAUCAGUUUGGAUUCUGAAAACUAACUGGCAUCAACACUGGGUGUAGAAACAUGCUUGCCUUAUGUAUCAGAGGACAUGCUCAGCAGAUCCAAGAGAUAUAUUUGGCAACUUUUUCU
rnacentral:lncRNA from 1 species